UGGGGAAUAUUGGACAAUGGGCGCAAGCCUGAUCCAGCAAUGCCGCGUGUGUGAAGAAGGCCUUCGGGUUGUAAAGCACUUUUAUCAGGAGCGAAACGCUGUCGGCUAAUACCCGGCGGAACUGACGGUACCUGAGGAAUAAGCACCGGCUAACUUCGUGCCAGCAGCCGCGGUAAUACGAAGGGUGCAAGCGUUAAUCGGAAUUACUGGGCGUAAAGCGUGCGUAGGCGGUUUCUUAAGUCUGCUGUGAAAUCCCCGGGCUCAACCUGGGAAUGGCAGUGGAUACUGGGAGGCUAGAGUGUGUCAGAGGGUGGUGGAAUUCCCGGUGUAGCGGUGAAAUGCGUAGAGAUCGGGAGGAACAUCAGUGGCGAAGGCGGCCACCUGGGACAACACUGACGCUGAGGCACGAAAGCGUGGGGAGCAAACAGGAUUAGAUACCCUGGUAGUCCACGCCCUAAAGCGAUGCGAACUGGAUGUUGGUCUCAACUCGGAGAUCAGUGUCGAAGCUAACGCGUUAAGUUCGCCGCCUGGGGAGUACGGUCGCAAGACUGAAACUUAAAUGAA
rnacentral:rRNA from 1 species